GAUGAACGCUGGCGGCGUGCCUAAUACAUGCAAGUCGAGCGAACAGACGAGGAGCUUGCUCCUCUGACGUUAGCGGCGGACGGGUGAGUAACACGUGGAUAACCUACCUAUAAUACUGGGAUAACUUCGGGAAACCGGAGCUAAUACCGGAUAAUAUAUUGAACCGCAUGGUUCAAUAGUGAAAUACGGUUUUGCUGUCACUUAUAGAUGGAUCCGCGCCGCAUUAGCUAGUUGGUAAGGUAACGGCUUACCAAGGCAACGAUGCGUAGCCGACCUGAGAGGGUGAUCGGCCACACUGGAACUGAGACACGGUCCAGACUCCUACGGGAGGCAGCAGUAGGGAAUCUUCCGCAAUGGGCGAAAGCUUGACGGAGCAACGCCGCGUGAGUGAUGAAGGUCUUCGGAUCGUAAAACUCUGUUAUUAGGGAAGAACAAAUGUGUAAGUAACUAUGCACGUCUUGACGGUAACUAAUCAGAAAGCCACGGCUAACUACGUG
rnacentral:rRNA from 1 species